GUAAAGGGAGCGUAGGCGGCGUGGUAAGUCAGAUGUGAAAUCCCGGGGCUCAACCCCGGAACUGCAUCCGAUACUGCCAUGCUAGAGGAUUGGAGAGGUAGCUGGAAUUCUUGGUGUAGCAGUGAAAUGCGUAGAGAUCAAGAGGAACACUCGUGGCGAAAGCGAGCUACUGGACAAUUCCUGACGCUGAGGCUCGAAGGCUAGGGUAGCGAAAGGGAUUAGAUACCCCUGUAGUCCUAGCAGUAAACGGUGCACGCUUGGUGUGAGGGGAAUCGACCCCCCUUGUGCCGGAGCUAACGCGUUAAGCGUGCCGCCUGGGAAGUACGGUCGCAAGACUAAAACUCAAAGAAAUUGACGGGGACCCGCACAAGCGGUGGAGUAUGUGGCUUAAUUCGAUGCAACGCGAAGAACCUUACCAAGGCUUGACAUGCAUCUCUAAACACGUGAAAGCGUGUGACCCUUCGGGGAAUUUGCACAGGUGCUGCAUGGCCGUCGUCAGCUCGUGUCGUGAGAUGUUGGGUUAAGUCCCGCAACGAGCGCAACCCUUGUGAUUAGUUGCCAGCACGUCAAGGUGGGAACUCUAGUCAGACUGCCCAGAUCAACUGGGAGGAAGGUGGGGACGACGUCAGGUCAGUAUGGCCCUUACGCCUUGGGCUGCACACGUACUACAAUGCCCAGCACAAUGAGAACCGAUACCGCGAGGUGGAGGAAAUCUGUAAAACUGGGCUCAGUUCGGAUUGGAGGCUGCAACUCGCCUCCAUGAAGUUGGAAUCGCUAGUAA
rnacentral:rRNA from 1 species